CUUGCCUAAAAGGAAACAAGGAAACAAACCAAAAAACAACAGCUGAAAAGGCUAUAGGUUGGAAGUAGUAUUGCCCUGAGGCCCCCACACAAAAUUGAAGUCCUGUUGUGUCUGGAACUGGAGAAACUCACAGGAAGAGAAUAAAAGCACCAGCCCUUCAAUGGUGAAGCUGAAGCUACAUCCUUCCCCAGCAGCAAAGGUUUAUUCCUGUGGGAUUCUUCAGAGAUUAUUUCACUGAUUCGUCAAACAAUCUUUUUAAGUUUAUCUUUUUCAUGCCCUGAGCUGUAGGAAAGGAUUUAGCAUUUUCUCCUCACAUAGGUAAAACUCAUAGUUAACAUGUCCAGGUUAUAUAGUACCAUUGCUCUGUAAAGCAUUUUCGUCCUGCUUAUGAUGAGGCACUAAACAGAAAUCAUGUCCCCCAAACAAAUGAAUACUGGUUUGGCUAUAAGAAGUGAUACUUCAGCC
rnacentral:lncRNA from 1 species